AGUGAACGCUGGCGGUAGGCCUAACACAUGCAAGUCGAACGGUGUAGCAAUACACAGUGGCGCACGGGUGCGUAACACGUAUGCAACCUACCUAUUAUUGGGGGAUAGCCUUUGGAAACGGAGAUUAAUACCGCAUAAUACGAUUGACUGGCAUCAGUUGAUUGUUAAAGCUUUUGCGAUAAUAGAUGGGCAUGCGUCCAAUUAGUUAGUUGGUGAGGUAAUGGCUCACCAAGACGAUGAUUGGUAGGGGAUCUGAGAGGAUAAUCCCCCACACUGGCACUGAGAUACGGGCCAGACUCCUACGGGAGGCAGCAGUAGGGAAUAUUGGGCAAUGGGCGGAAGCCUGACCCAGCCAUGCCGCGUGCAGGAUGAAGGCGUUAUGCGUUGUAAACUGCUUUUUUAUAGGAAGAAGGAGGCCUUGCGAGGCUUGGUGACGGUACUAUAAGAAUAAGCACCGGCUAACUCCGUGCCAGCAGCCGCCGUAAAAC
rnacentral:rRNA from 1 species